GCCGUCGGGGAGAGUGCGCAGGCGCAGACGGGGGCGGCGCGGCGGUUGGGGCGGCGGGGCGUCCGAGCGCUAACCAUGACCCAGCAGGGCGCGGCGCUGCAGACCUACAACAACGAGCUGGUCAAGUGCAUGGAGGAGCUGUGCCAGAAACGGGAGGAGCUGUGCCAGCAGAUCCAGCAGGAGGAGGAGGAGAAGCAGCGGCUGCAGGUCGAGGUGCGGCAGCUGACCGAGCGGCUGGCCCGCGUCAACGAGAACCUGGCCUGCAAGAUCGCCUCCCGCAACGAGUUCGACCGGACCAUCGCGGAGACGGAGGCCGCCUACCUCAAGAUCCUGGAGAGCUCGCAGACCCUGCUCAGCGUCCUCAAGAGGGAGACCGGGAACCUGAGCAAGGCCACCAUGGCCACGGAGCAGAAGGGCGGCGGGGGCAAGGACAGCUGACGGGCGGGGCCGCCCCCAGCUCUCCCUGAAGCAGCUGCACCGCACUGUGGCCCCGGGUGACCAGAAGCCGCCCAGACAGCCACCGGCGAGGGUCCUGGCCUCCCGCGCACCCAGGCCCUGGGGUGUUGGACUCCAGAGCCCACCAGCCCGUGCCUGUGCCGCGUCAACCGUGGGGCUGCGCGCACCCCUGGAGCCGGUCCCCGCCCAGCCGCUGUGGCCCCUGGGGACGGAGAGCUGAGGGUGCCCGCCCCACCCCAGGAGCCUGGACAGGGCUCUGCCCCUCUGCCCGCGUGAUGCAUCCGUCCACGGAGGCACCCGUCCCGCUCAGCAGGGCUGGGGCUCCAUCCCCUUGCCUGCUCCCGUUCAGGUCUGGGCCUAGCGGGUAAAGCAGCCGCCUGCAGUGCCGCUGCCCCACUCCCCAGCCAGCGCCUGCUGCCGAGGCCUGGGAAGGCCGUGGGAGAUGCCCAGUCCUCGGCCCUGCACGUGUGCGGGAGACCUGGAGGAAGCGCCUGGCUCAGCUCCAGCCGUGGUGGCCGUGUAGGGAGCGAACCAGUGGUGGGACCUGCCACUCCUUCACUCUGAGUCCGCGUUUGAAGUAAAUAAAUCUUCAGAAAAAAUAA